GCUGCGACACAGUAGGGAUACAGAUAAUUGUCACUGUGCACAUGCUGCUGGAAAUGUAAAAUUAUUAUCUUUAGAGAGGUUGAGUAGGGUGUUUGAGCACGAAUGUUACGCAGCUCGGGCACGUGGAAUGUGUAGAGCACUCAUCUGUUGGCUGCCUCCCUUCCUCUGCUGGCCCGGCUCGCUGGUUCUGGGCGACACCCAGCUCCGGGAGCAUCCUGCCGGUCACUCAGUGGCGAGGAAAGGACAGCAGGGUCCUGAAGUAAGGAAAAACCCAUUCCAGAAGUGGAAGCCCAGGGGUCUGGAAAGCUGUGUUGCUCACUGCUACCACGGUGAGAGAAGCAACCUAGAAAUGGGAAACAAGAUAGAAAAACAGAAACCAAAAUCCUGAAAUCUCCACUGACAUGGACACUGAGAUCUUGUCCUCUGGAUGACAUAGCCAUCACCCUCAGGCUAACCUGCCAUCUGUGAUGAGAAGACUCCCUGAUGAAGUUCUUCCCAACCAGCUUUCACCUAUGCCUCCCAAAAGGAGAGAUCUCCACUUCUCUCAGAAACGCUAUCUUUUGCAGAAUCAAGUGGCUUUUAAAGUGCGUCUUUCUCUCACCCCUGGCUUGAGUGUGAAUAUGAUUGCCACCAUCUUGGAUCCGAUGGAAGACACAGCACCUUGAGGAAAGUUGAACAAGAGAGAUUGCUGCUACUGUGGAUCUUCAAUGCCAGCUCCUUACUUCUUAUAUUUGGACAGGGACGUGA